UUCCAGACUCCUACGGGAGGCAGCAGUGGGGAAUAUUGCACAAUGGGGGAAACCCUGAUGCAGCGACGCCGCGUGAGCGAUGAAGUAUUUCGGUAUGUAAAGCUCUAUCAGCAGGGAAGAAAAUGACGGUACCUGACUAAGAAGCCCCGGCUAACUACGUGCCAGCAGCCGCGGUAAUACGUAGGGGGCAAGCGUUAUCCGGAUUUACUGGGUGUAAAGGGAGCGUAGACGGCGAUGCAAGCCAGAUGUGAAAGCCCGGGGCUCAACCCCGGGACUGCAUUUGGAACUGUGUGGCUGGAGUGUCGGAGAGGCAGGCGGAAUUCCUAGUGUAGCGGUGAAAUGCGUAGAUAUUAGGAGGAACACCAGUGGCGAAGGCGGCCUGCUGGACGAUGACUGACGUUGAGGCUCGAAAGCGUGGGGAGCAAACAGGAUUAGAUACCCCCGUAG
rnacentral:rRNA from 1 species